UGCUAAUACAUGCAAGUCGAGCGAACGGAUAAGGAGCUUGCUCCUUUGAAGUUAGCGGCGGACGGGUGAGUAACACGUGGGUAACCUACCUAUAAGACUGGAAUAACUUCGGGAAACCGGAGCUAAUGCCGGAUAACAUUUGGAACCGCAUGGUUCUAAAGUAAAAGAUGGUUUUGCUAUCACUUAUAGAUGGACCCGCGCCGUAUUAGCUAGUUGGUAAGGUAACGGCUUACCAAGGCAACGAUACGUAGCCGACCUGAGAGGGUGAUCGGCCACACUGGAACUGAGACACGGUCCAGACUCCUACGGGAGGCAGCAGUAGGGAAUCUUCCGCAAUGGACGAAAGUCUGACGGAGCAACGCCGCGUGAGUGAUGAAGGUUUUCGGAUCGUAAAACUCUGUUAUUAGGGAAGAACAAAUGUGUAAGUAACUGUGCACAUCUUGACGGUACCUAAUCAGAAAGCCACGGCUAACUACGUGCCAGCAGCCGCGGUAAUACGUAGGUGGCAAGCGUUAUCCGGAAUUAUUGGGCGUAAAGCGCGCGUAGGCGGUUUCUUAAGUCUGAUGUGAAAGCCCACGGCUCAACCGUGGAGGGUCAUUGGAAACUGGGAAACUUGAGUACAGAAGAGGAAAGUGGAAUUCCAUGUGUAGCGGUGAAAUGCGCAGAGAUAUGGAGGAACACCAGUGGCGAAGGCGACUUUCUGGUCUGUAACUGACGCUGAUGUGCGAAAGCGUGGGGAUCAAACAGGAUUAGAUACCCUGGUAGUCCACGCCGUAAACGAUGAGUGCUAAGUGUUAGGG
rnacentral:rRNA from 1 species